ACGAUCAGGACAAUGUCCAGGAUUAGAUCUAAUCAUAUGAACUUAAAAGAAUCGCUAGACAGAAAGCGCAUUAUAGAAACCAAAAUCUGUGAUUGCAACAUGGAUGAGGAAACCAUAGGGGACAAAUACGAUAACUUCCCUAUAAAUCGGGAAGUUAAAAAACACGUACUGCUUUAAGAAAGAAAUUUAUAUUUUGCUAUUACAUGUUUACUACAAUAGUACGGGUAUCACUAAGACGUUGUCAGUAUUGUUAUUAAUUUUAUAAUUUAUAUCGUACGUUAGAAAAAAAAAGAGAGAGUGAAAGGUUAAGACUAGCAGUCCUAAAGGGGGAAUAGGAAAAGAGGAUCCAACUCUCUACACCAAAAGCAAAAGUGUACAAUUUGUAGAAUAAGGAACAAGCGAAAAGAAUAGACUAGGAAAUUAGGAUAAAAUGUAGGCAUUAACUGGGAUAGAAACUAAAAUAACACUAAUGAGUAAAUAAUUAAAAAAAAAAACAAUGGUCAAAUAAAACAGUAUUAUUGUAAACCGUCAAACAACCAGCGUCGCGUAGAAUAUAAGUAAAUAGAAUAAGGAGUUAGAUAUAAAUAAAGAACAUUGUGAUAAGGAAAUGUGUUUAUA